AUGGCACCCAAAAGACAUUACAAAGAAUAUCUGCUGGAUGAGUCGAGCCAACCUUCAAAGGCAACCAAAUACAGACGGCUAGCAAACAAGAAAGAGAAUACUUUAAACUGCAGAGGGAAUUACAAGAAUUACCUCAGGGCAUCCUGUACAACUAACAAUAAAGAGGUUGUGAAAGAGAUUCCACUUUCAAAUAACGGUGAACGAACAUAUUCUCUGGAGGAAUAUCCAGGAGACAAUCCCACAACUAACAAACAGAAUGUUCCCGAUGAGGGCCUUGUUGCAGAAGGACCAAGCGAUCAGUCAUCUUUAGAAUGUUUGAGAGGAAAGCAUCUUGUCAGUCCAAUAAGAGAGCACCUGCUUCAGGACAGACCCAACAGAGAUUCAUCAGAGCCUGCCGGAGAGGGAGUCUCCAGAAAGACCCACCCAGUGCUAGAAUUGCCACCCUCCACCUACUCACACCGCACUUUUCAAUUUUGUGGGGAUCAACAAGAUAUGCAAAUCGGACCAGAAGCACAGGACAUGUUAGAGAAGCAACCAGGAUCCAAUGUGCCUGCUACUCCACCUCAUCAGCAAGAGACACCAAACCAACAGGCAGAGACAUUUUUGUUGGAUGGAGAUGAUCCAGCGUAUCCUGGAGCUCCACUGACAAAGGGACAAAGUUUAAUCUUACUGAUGUCUUAUGUACUAAGGCACAAUGUGACAGGUGUGGCACUUGAACAUCUACUGAACAUUGUCAAUGAACAUUUCCCUGGAAUGGUACCAGUAACCACAUACCUUUUUCACAAAGCUUAUGGACAAUAUGGAAAUUAUGUCCCCCAUUUUUACUGUCCAGCAUGUGAAAACUACUUAGGGGUAAAUAAUACCAGUGAACUAAUGUGUGGUGCUUGUAAUGCAGUAACUGAUUCAGAGAGCUGUCUCAAAAGUGGGUGUUUCUUUCUAGUGCUUAGUUUGGCUUCACAAAUCAAAACAUUGCUUGAACAAAACCAAGGUUUAAAAAAAGACUGGCAAUGUGCAUAUGUCAUUUCAGAUAUACAGUGUGGAGAAGAGUACCAGAAACUCAAAGAAUCAGGUGAAUUAGGUGAGGAUGACAUAACUUUAAUUUGGAACUGUGAUGGAAUUCCAGUUUUCAGGAGUUCAAAGUAUCAAAUCUGGCCCAUUUAGUGCCAGGUUAUAGAACUCAAACCUAAAGAACGCAAGGCAAAUAUCUGUCUUCCUUGUCUCUGGUUUGGCGAGAAGAAGCCAAACAUUUUUGAAGCCAUUUGUUAAUGAACUGCAAAUUUUAGAACAAAAUGGCAUUAAAUGGAAGGACUCAGCAAAUGUACAACAUGUAUCCAAAGUGUAUGCUCUGAUAUGCAGUUCAGAUUCAAUUGCUCGACCACUUCUAAGAAACACCAAACAGUUUAAUGGCUUUUAUGGAUGUGAUUUUUGUUACCAUGUUGGUGGUGGUCCUUACAAAAACAAAGGCCCAAAACCACAUCUUAGAACUGAAGCUAAGCAUUUUGAUCACGCAAUGGCUGCAACACCAGACAGUCCUGUAAUGGGAGUGAAAGGACCUUCACCAUUAAUGAAACUCUCAAAGUUUCAAAUGAUACAUGGAUUUUUUCCAGAGUAUCAGCAUUGUGUCUGCCUUGGUGUGACAAGACAAUUAGCAAAACUGUGGUUUGACUCAAAAAAUCAUAACAAAGAGUGGUACUUAGGAGCAAAAUCAGACCGCAUUGACAAAGAGCUCAUUGCAAUUCAACCCCCUGUUGAGAUAACAAGAGUACCACGAUCUGUGGCAGACAAAAUAUUGGAAAGCGUCAGAGUGGAGGUCAUUCCUGUUAUUCUAUGCUCUGCCUUUACUGAAUGGGGUCUUACUAAAGAAGUUCUGGAACCACCUUUUUCUGUUUGUGUUCGCAAUGCACAUUCUUUUGGGAGAAAAGGUGAAACGCUGUGAUAUUGAAGUAGCUGAAAGAGCUCUCAAGAAGUUCUCACUGCAGUUUGAGAAGUUAUAUGGUGCCUCAAAUAUGACAUUUAAUGUCCAUCUUCUGACACACCUUGCGGCAAGUGUUAGGAACUGGGGCCCUUUGUGGGCCACAUCAACCUUUUCCUUCGAAUCAUUUAAUGGCACUUUGUUACAGUACUUCAAUGGGACAACACAUGUUCCAGAGCAAAUAGUUAAAAGAUUUCUUUGCUGGAGGAGUCUAACACAAAAAGCCGAAAAGUACAUGGUAGAUGCUAAUGAAGGGGUGAAAUGCAUUUUUUCACAUCUCCUAAACAGCAAUGUAUCAAGUUCUAAUUCAUCUAGCCUGGAUGAAAAUGUCAGGGUUUUUGGUAAUCCCUGUCAUCACAAACUGUCAGCAUUAGAAAAACUUUUUAUCAAAGACUUGCUAAGUGUUACAGUCGAACACUUUGUUUGUUAUCACCGUUUCAUUGUAAAAGGCAUACUGUAUCAUUCCAGCAGUAACAGAAGUCUAAAAAAAAGGAUCAACUCAACAGUGGAGUUACAGGAUCAAAGAUUAUGUAGAAUUCUUUGCAUGUCAGUAUUCAGAGCAGGCGAUUUGUCAUUGCACUGUAUAUUGGUAAAGGAGCUUGUGAAGACUGAUGGACAGCUCUGCAAGGAUAGUCAACUGAACAUUACUUCCAGUUUUAUGUCUGAGGUGUCUGAAUCUAGGAAUGUUUAUGCGGUGCCCACUGACCUGUUCCACAGGAAAUGUGUUUUGAUCCAAUGAAGAGACAAACAAUAUGUUAUUCUUUUACCAAAUAAUGUAGAGAGAGAUUAAAUAGUUACUGGGGAAGUUUGAUAAAAAAUGCUGAAACCACUGCCAAAUUGUAAGAAAUAGGGACUACAUUCUUGGUGUGCCUUAAAACUAGUGGACGAUGUCCAAAAAUGGCAAAUUCAGAGUAUUAAAUCUGUAAAAAAUUAUAAGGCACAUGGGCAAGCACACACAAAGACUGUGCUGUUAAACAGUUAUACUAUAACAGUUGUGGUAUAACAAAAUACAAACAAAAUUGUGGCCUCAAAAUGUUGAACUUUAACAGACUGUUUCCAUGCAAAAUCAAAGACUUUCAAAAGGUUAAUUUUUCUGUCAAGCAGCAAAGCAAAUUUCCUGUUAUCUGCACAUCUUAAUAUGUUCAUAAGUCUAAUAUGUUUUCUGAUUGCUGUCAAAUGUAAGUGAAACAAUCCAAGCUUUGGAAAAAGUACUUUCCAUGUGAUGAUAAGAAAUACACAAGGUUGUACUGUUUUUUUGUUAGAAAUACUGGUGAGUCUUGACUACUGCAUUAAAUAAAAGCACAUGGUCAAUUGAAAGGUG
ensembl:lncRNA